rnacentral:rRNA from 1 species
UACGUAGGGGGCAAGCGUUGUCCGGAAUCAUUGGGCGUAAAGAGCGUGUAGGCGGCCCUGUAAGUCCGUUGUGAAAGUCAAAGGCUCAACCUUUGAAAGCCGGUGGAUACUGCAGGGCUAGAGUCCGGAAGAGGCGAGUGGAAUUCCUGGUGUAGCGGUGAAAUGCGCAGAUAUCGGGAGGAACACCAAUUGCGAAGGCAGCUCGCUGGGACGUGACUGACGCUGAGACGCGAAAGCGUGGGGAGCAAACAGG